UUUAAAUAGCUGCAGUAAUUUAACUGUACAAAGGUAGCAUAAUAAUUAGUCUUUUAAUUGAGGUCUGGAAUGAAUGGAUUAACAAAAUAAUAACUUUAUUAGGUUAAAUAAAUUUUAAUUUUAUUUUUUAGUUAAAAAGCUAAAAUUUUUAAAUGGGACGAUAAAACCCUAUAGAUCUUUAAUUUUUUAAGGUUAAGAAUUUUAAAGGUGAAUUAAAAUUUUAAGUUUAAAAAAUUUUAGUUGGGGUGACUAAAAAAAUUUUAAAACUUUUUUUAAUUUUGUCAUAAAUUAAUGUCCUUUAGAUCCUAAUUAUUUAGAUUCUCAAAAUAAGAUACCUUAGGGAUAACAGCGUAGAAAUUUGGAUAGUUCAUAUUGAUAAAUUUAUUUACGACCUCGAUGUUGAAUUAAUUAUAAAUUUUAAAGCAGAAAUUAAUAAUUUAGGUCUGUUCGACCUUUAAUUAAUUACA
rnacentral:rRNA from 1 species